rnacentral:rRNA from 1 species
AUGGGAUUUGGAGUGCUCACUGGCAUCUCAAUUGGGCUUCUCAAUGAGAGUCUAGGUUUCAACUCUGUUGGUUUCUAUCAGGGCAAGUUGAGUGCAUUGGUUGGAUCUAGCUUCUUGAUAUUGCAGAGGACUCGUCAAAAGGCUAGCACUUAUUCUAUAAUGCAUGUCCCUACAUAUUAUAAAUUUUAUUUUGCAGAAGCAGCAUGGAAGACAACAAGCAAAAAUGUUAAUUAUGAGGACGGCGAAAGACUACAUAUCGUAGUUACCAAAAGUUGGGUGAUCAAAGCAAUCUACAUGAUGCAUCUCUGA